CUCUAUGAGUUUUAUUAGAUAGAGGUCUGAAACAAAACUGCUACCUUGACAGGAAUAUGGUACAGCAGGAAUUUAUUUUCUCUAUAAACAUUUGAUGUUUCUGCCCUGAAUUGUGGUGAAUGAGAUCUUUGGUUUUGCCCUUAGCGGACACGAGGAUUUCCCUCCAGCACGCUGUCGAGUGGUCUUAUGCUGAACCCCAAGUGAACUCGAGAGAGAGAUCUGGAUAUGUGGUUUCCCACGUAUUUCCAUUUUUCAGCAGGAUGACAUCUGUUCUUUCAGAGAGCACUACCUGGAUUUGCUCUGAGCUCGUUCUACAAUCGGAGAAGAGACCAGACAAGCAUUUGUAUCCUUCCUAGGAACAACCUCACGGCGAGCUCUCAUGUCGGCACAGCUCCUGACAGCAUGGAACAGCAGAGAUGAUGAGAGACCAGCAGGCUGCUGAAUAAUAAGCUGCUGAGCGGCGGCAGAUGCUUGUGAAUCUUCUGCAUAGCUUCUCUUGGAAUGUAACAUCGCUGUGUCUGCAGUGAUCGGGGCACCUCUCGCGCUGCGUUGUUUGAGCUCUAAACUGUCAGCGCUGUUGACAGUAAACUACAAAUUAUAAGUAUUGCUUGAGAUGGGCAUGGGUGCAUUUUUAGCAUUGCAGGAAGAAA